rnacentral:rRNA from 1 species
GACGAACGCUGGCGGCGUGCCUAAUACAUGCAAGUCGGACGCAGUUGCGAACGGGUGAGUAACGCGUAUGUAACUGCCUAUUAGUGGGGGCUAACUAUUGUAAACGAUAGCUAAUACCGCAUCCUAGUAGAUGGACCUGCGUUGUAUUAGGUAGUAGGUAGGGUAAUGGCCUACCUAGGGAAAGAGACAUAGGCGACCUGGGAGGGUGACCGGGCAAACUGGGACUGGGACAAGGGCCAGACUCCUACGGGAGGCAGCAGGAGGGAAUUUUCGGCAAUGGGGGGAACGCCUACCGAGGAACGGCGCGUGAGAGAAGAAGGGUGUCGGAGAGGAAAGCUAUGUUGUGAAGGAAGCGGUACUUAAACAGAAAGGGACGGCUAACUACGUGCCAGCAGCCGCGGUAAUAC